rnacentral:lncRNA from 10 species
AUAUAUAUAUAUAUAUAUGACUGUUUUGCUUUGUUUUGAGUUUCAUAAAAAUAGUAUCAUGGGGGCCGGUCACGGUGGCUCACGCCUGUAAUUCCAGCACUUUGGGAGGCUGAGACGGGCAGAUCACAAGGUCAGGAUGGUCUCGAUCUCCUGACCUUGUGAUCUGCCCACCUCAACCUCCCAAAGUGCUGGGAUUACAGGUGUGAGCCACCAUACCCAGCCAGAGAAUGUUAUUUAGAAACCAAGAUCUGGGUGCCAAAUGUGCUGCUUGUUACUGGAAUGUCAUUGCCUCUAGGCUCUCACCAUACAGUGCAAAGAGAUGAUAGAUAGAUAGAUAGAUAGAUAGAUAGAUAGAUAGAUAGAUGAUAGAUAUAGAUAGAUAGAUAGAUUGAUUGAUUUGUAGAAACAAGAUAGGUUAGAGAUACCUGACAUAAAUAGAUACUAAAAAUCAUGAAUUCACACUGAUGCUUUGAGACCAGCCCUGUAGGUUUAUUCCAGUCUGCCCCCUUUUCCAUGUUGUUAACUCUUUCCUCCAGAGAGACAAAGAUUUCAGGUUGCUUUGUUAAGUUCCAUCUAAUGAUCAUUCUGACGUAAGUCUGUUUUUCUUAUUUCCUUGGAAUGAUGUCUCCUCUGGUUUCAGAACUUCCUCCUCUGCUUCCUGUAUCCUGAGGCUGGCGGGGCCAGUUGUCUUUAGGGCUUGUGCAUUUUUGUAAAGAGCUUGCACGUGUGGAAAUCAAGUAGGCCAGUAGUGGGUUAGGGGUACUGAGCCAGAAGCCUCUACAAGGAAUAACAGGAGCACAAAGGAAGAAGGUGGUAUUCCAGCUGGGGACCCAGGAGGGAGGACUUUGUGGAGAACCUGAUGCUUGAACUGAGUCUAAAAGGUGUAAAAGUGUUUGUUGCUUCUGCCUCCCUGUCUGUCUGGCAGGGUGAGGUAGGCGCAUCUAGGGAAAUGUCAAGUGGCUUGGUGUAGGGUAAAGUCAGUGAGGCCCAUGGAGAAAAACGAGCAGGAGCCACAUCACAUGGGUGUCUGAUAGGACCUGGGAGGCGCUUUCCACAUUACCAUUGUCGCUUCGUGAUCUGGACACACCAGAAGGCGUGAGACUGGAGGCAGGAAGAGCAGCCAGGCUUAUCCCUACCCUCAGGAGAGCUGAAAAGGGCAGGUAUGGUGGGGCCAGAGCUCAGGAGAGUUUCGGAACCACUGAGAUCGGUCCUUGAUUUGAUGAGAGGCUUGAGGGGAGAGGGAGGUAGCUAGGAUGCCCCGCAAGCUUCUGGCCCAGACACUGGGCAGACAAUGAAACCCUUUGUAACACAUGAGGCAAUAGGUUUGGGGCAGAUGGGAGGGGAAGCAGUGGUGGGGGCAGUGAGUGCUGAAGGUGUUUUAAGAAGCGGCUCUGGGCCAGGCACAGUGGCUUAUGCCUGUAUUCCUAGCAUUUUGGGAGGCCGAGGUGGGAGAAUCACUUGAGCCCAAGAAUUUGAGACCAGCCUGGGGAAUAUAGUGAGACCCUGUCCCUACAAAAAUAAAAACAACUAGCUGGGUGUGUGGUGGUGCAUGCCUGUAGGCCCAGCUACGCGGGAACAUCACCUGAGCCCAGGAGGUUGAGGUUGCAGUGAGCUACAGUUGCGCCACUGCACUCCAGCCUAGGUGACAGAGCAAGAUCUUGUCUCAAAAAAAAAAGCAGCUCUGGAUGGGAAGGGAGGCCAGUUGCUUUAAGUAGGGGAGAUAGAGUUAAAGGAGGCUUUGUUUUAUUUAAAGGUGGGACAAACUUAAGCAUGUUAAUAAAAUUCAGAGAAGAGAAAGAGAAUGACUAUCAGAGCCAUGUUUGGAAGAAAAUGGGGUCCAGAGCACAGGAAGGGGACCUGUGUUCAGAGGGUGCCUCACUGCUGAGGCCACAGGAAAGAAUCUGUAGGUGGAGGGGAGGCCGAAGAGGGGAAGUUUCAUGCUUGAUAAUUAAAAUUUUCUGAGAUAGGAAUGUCAUAUUUACCUAUUUAAGCCAAGUUUUUUUAGAUAAAAGGUAUGGAACCUGCUUUCCCCUUGGCUAGUUCAGCGUUUGGGCUCCGGAGUGCUGAAGAUGAGGACUGGACUUCGAGCUGGUGUGAUCCCAGUAUUCAGUGUCAGUACUCAGUGACAAAAUAAAUGAGAGAAACGGGAAUAAGAAUUGUCGCCUACACAAAAAUACCAGCAACUGUUAACUCUUCCCAGAAGAUUUUCAUUCUGAAUGCUCCUGUAGCUAGGAACCCUAAAAAGUCUUUGAAGCAACUCAAGUUUUAAAAAAGGGGAGGAACUCCUGGAAAUCUCAGGAUGGGGCCAAGAUGUGGCUGGAGAGUGUGUGGUGAUGGAGGGCGUGUCUUUUGCCGAGCACACUCAGGGCCCACGGGAAGCCCAUAGACUUCAAGGACAUCAAGCCCCAAGGUGGUGGGAUUUUCCCCACCAGUACUUGGCAGCCUAGGGGGAAGGGGAGGGCGGGAGAAGAUAAUGGGGAUCCCUGGCUCCAAACAUAGGAGGACACAUCUGUGCUACAGUGCGCACAUGCCUGGAUGUACACUCUGUCUUUGGAGACACUGGCUAAGAUUCUCUGCUCCAUGUUUGGACAGGGUCGUGCCUGAUCUGAGAUAAAUGGACAAGAACAACUGAAGCCUGUCUUCUGGUGCAUGUGUCACCUGCCGAUAACUGCAUCUUGUGAUAAAGUUGGGUGAUUUACAGUCUCCACCAAAUGCUAAACUCUGGGGUCUUACGCCUUUAUAACUCCAUGGGCCCCAGCAAAGGUUCAGGCUCAAAACAGGUGUCAAAUAGAUAACUGUUGAAUGAUUGUUCCCCAGUUGCAGGCUCUGCCACCUGGCGUUCAUACUGUCUGUGAAAGGACCCAGCUCACCUUUCCCUCUUUAUCUCCCAGUCCUUCCCAACAGCGCCGACACCUCAUGGAAACUGAUUGCAAAUGUGCUACUUCUCACUUCUGUGUGGCCCGAGGAGGCUGGGUUAAUGCUGGGCUUGGUACCUUAAGCACCCUUUCUCCCUUCCCCAUCUUCAUUCUCAGAAUUACACCUGUCUGAAGCAGGCAUUUUCCAAUGCCCUAGAUGGGAAUAUAAGUGUAAGGAGAUGUGAAGCAUUUGCCUGUGUGUCAGAACAUUCACUGAGGAUCCUCAUAGGCACUUCUAGAAACCAAAUCCUUGAAGAUGACUAACCAGAAAUGCCCGUCAUAGCACUGUUUACAGUUGCAAAAACUGAAGCCAAUUGAAAUGUCCAUCAGGAGGGGAUUAAAUGAAUUAUGGUACAGUUACACCGUUGAAUAUUUUACAGCCAUUGAAGAUGAUAUAUAGCUAUAUUCAUUGACAAGGAAAACUCAUAUUUUUUAGUGAAAAAAGCAGGUUAUAGAAUUGCAUGAUAUUCACAUUUAUAUAAAACUUUAUAUAUGGGAAGGAUGUUGAUUGAAUUGUUAAUAACUAUGGUCACCUCUAGAGAUGGA